UUGGACACUUGACUUCAACUCCAAGCCUUCAGCAAUUUUGCUUCUGAACAGACCAAGAGCAUAAAAAAGGGCAAUAGCUACACCUUGCCACCAAGUCAAAAACACAAUUGAUUUAAAAGUCAAAAACUUGGCCAAUGGUUUUAUGUGUGCCAGUUCAUCAUUUGUGACAGUAUAAAAUUGAACUAGACAGUAUAAAGCCCAUGAUUGACUGAAAUUGAGAACCACUGCCAUAUAAGGAUACCUGAAAAAAGAGGAAAAUUUGACAAGACAAUGAGAAAUUCACUAAGAAAGCCAAUUCACUUUUCACUAAUGAUUAUUCAUCAAUUUACUGCAACAACAGAGUACCAGAAUGUUUCAAACAAACACUUUUGCUCUGCUCACAAGUGAAACAACAUCAUAAAUUCAGGUUUAAGGUGGCUUAUUGCUUAGUAGGUGAAGAACUAAAACAGGCACCAAUACAAUUCACAAUCAUUCAAAAUUACAUUGUUCUACCCAGAAAAGGUUUGCCUACAGACAACUCAUACAAAAUCCACAUUAUCACCAGCAGCAUUCUACAUUAAUAUUAUCUUACCCACAUCCCCAUUUGAAUUCUCCUUCACAAUAUACACCAAAAGCUUCAAGAAUUAGUGACAAAAGAGCAGUCAGUAACUUGAUUAUCAUCUGCAGACAGAAAAUACAACUACAUUAAAAAACGAAACAAUGAAAGAAACAAAAAUAAUAUUUUAUUUCUUCCAGCUAAAAGCCCUUACGUAUUGGACAAUGCCAAACUUGACAACUUGGUAAAACCAUUGGCCAAGUUUCCAUGGUCUUAGGAUAUAAUUCACAGGAAAGGGGUGUUUAACGGUUCCCUUUUCACAAUCGAGUCCCAAUAGUGGAGUUUUAGAACUUGC
rnacentral:lncRNA from 1 species